GUGUACAACUGGGUUAUCAGGACAAAGCAAAAAGAUGCAACAGUGAUCACUUCAAAGUUUAGAAGAACAUGCGCUGCAGAAGGAUGCGUAGAGUUUGUAAAUUGCAAAGGGGAGUGUGAAACCUUGACCCAACUUUUGCCCCACAGAAAAUGUAAAAGGGCAGGGAAGCAGUCUUUCCUAUACACAAACCCCAAAUUAACCCGAGGGCUGUUCCUUCUGUGUGGCAGUAAAGUCUGUAGUUAUACUUCAGUGAGCAUCCUAGCUGGCCCUUGUGCAGCAGAGUGGUUAAUCAUGCUCAUGCCUUUCAAAGAAGACCUAAUUGAGAAACCAGGAUAGGAAGUUCUUAGAAGAAGAACUUGCUUGCUCAGUGGUACAAAGUAGAAAUGUGACAUCACUGCCAUGGGCAACAUUAAGUGAGGAAGUGACCGAGCUGCAGGGAGAUGCUACCCUUGAGAGCAGGGCAGCUGGAAAUUGCUUCUUGCUAAGACAUACUCAUGAGUGAGAGGAGUUAAAGGAACACAAGGGUUGUAGACAGAGAGUUGUGGUGAAUGGCACUAUGUCCAGGUGCAGGCUGGUGACAAGCAGUGUCCCCCAGGGGUCUGUCUUGGGACCGGUGUUUUUCAACAUCUUCAUCAGUGACAUCAAUGAUGGACUCGAGUGCAGAAAUGGUUACAAUCCCUUACAACUAUUGCUAAACUGUAGUUACUUUUCCCUUGUAUUCCUGAGAUGUCCUUGGUUCUCAGCCUUGCCUUCUCGUGCUGUUUAUCUUGCUCUGCAGCUUCUGCUUUGAAUAGUCUUUCUUGUAUUCCCACAGGCCCGAACUAUCAAUAAAGGAUAACAAUCAGAGGGGCAGAUCAGACUGGGGAGUUCUCUAGAAAUAUCCCUGACCUGGGCCCCAGGGAAGCAGCACACCUCCCUAUGGGUAGGGUCAGGCUGACAUACAGGGCCCUCUGUUCCUCUCAGCAGGGAGUCCCUAUGACAACCACCCUUCUUUCCCUCCUGGUGGAGGCAGUCUGGAGGUGUGGAUUUGACCGCCUCACCCUACACAACCUCACAGGCGACCUCCCAGCGCAUCCUCACUCACCUCUCCCUCAGGUUCCAGGGCCUCAAACCUAUUACAUAGAGACACCUGGGGAACUGAGGUAGGUCGGGAUGGGGGUUGCCCAUAUCGCUGAGCUGGGACCUGUUUCCACUCCUCCUCUUCAGUUGGCUCCCUCUGCUUGACUAUGGCAGGGGAGGGGGUCCACCACUGUUUGGGAGGUGUCACCCUGGUGUCUUUCUUGCAGAGAGUUACUCCAUCAAUCUAUCUCCUGAUUACACUCCCUGAUAUUUAUGGAACUGAUAUCAGGAAAAACUUUACAGAAAGGGUUGUUAAGCACUGGAACAGGCUCCCCAGGGAGACGGUUGAGUCACCAUCCCUGAAUCUGUUUAAAAACUGUUUGGAUGCGGUGCUCGGGGACAUGAUUUAGUGGUGAGUUAGGGCAGUAUGGUUUGGUUGCGGUUGGACUUGAUGACCUUGAAGGUCUUUUCCAACCUGAGCAAUUCUAUGAUUCUAUGAUCCUUAGUCUCUCUACCUCCUUGAGCUCCGCCACCACACUGAGCAGAUCAUCCACUGCUCACACCUCACACAGGUGGAAUCCCUACCACCCUUCACUGGCAGCACCAGGCUCAGGCCCUCUCUGCAGACAGAGACUUGAACUGCCACGUGUUGAGGCGGGCACUCCACCUGAGUCGCCACAUCCUUCCUCACUACAGCUUUCUGCCGAGUGGAGACCGGGGCGGGACCGUUGCUCGGAAAGCAGCAGGCAGCUGAACCCGUCCCCUGACAGGGCACAAGUACGCUGCCCUGCUCGCCUGCCCGCGCCCUCCUGACGCGCCACGCCCCGUUUGCCCGCUCUGUUCGCUGCGCUCCCUAGCGGCAAGUUUUAUACACGCACGGGGUGAUCCCGCCGCUGCUCCUGGCUCCGCCCCCGCGACGUCCGGACGCCGCUGCAACGCAGAGGGCGAUGGCGUCCGGCAGCUGCUCCGUGGAGGAGGCUGCCCCUCAGCCAACAGAGGCAAUGCUCUGCUUUCGGCGCGGAAUGUGUCCGCUCCAGAGCCGCGUACCUCGCCAAAAAGUGAAGCAGCGAGAGCCUGUCUGGAAGCCGUCCGGGCAGCACCGUGCUGGCAGCGCUGCACCGAGGGCCGUCCUGCGGCCAGCUCCGGGCUGAGGGCACUCGGCAUCCGCUGCUCUACGCGACUCCAAGGAGCGGGGCUGCCUGCAGCAGAGGUGGAGCAGUCAGCUCCUCACUCAACGUAGGCGCCCUCCAUUGCUCGUGCAGGGAAGCACACACUUGGAAGGUCGGGAAAAAGGGGAUUUGUUUUAAUCUAGGAGACGGAUUUAAUCAUGCCGCAGUAAUGCUCGUUACCUUUUAUUUAGUGGUUUCUUAUUAUUCCUCUUUUUUCUGUGUACAUUUAUCAAUUUUGUGAUUGUGCACGUCCCCGGGGUGGCUCUUCUGCUCCCUGCAAACAGCACCAGGAGGGCAGAGGGGAGCAGCAAAAGGUGGUUCCAAUCCAGCACUGCUUUUCCCCAGGUGGGAUCCCAGUCCCAGCUCCAUCUCCUGCCCAGCACAACAGUUUGCUGGGCCAGACGGGGUGCAGCAAGGGUAGCGGCUGUUCCCAUGCAUGCUGCAACCCAGGUUGGGCUCCGAGGGAUGCAGGAAGGGGUUGGAGCUGGGAAUGUGAGGAAGCGAGCAGAGGAGGUCAGCACGCUCUGCCAACCUGCUGGCUCUAUCUAAUACAGCAUGGCCAGGACUAUGUUUCUGCCCAGUCCUCAGAGAUGAAAUGACCUUGCUUCAUAGCUCUGCAUGUAUGCAUUCCUGUAUGCAAUAACAAUUCCCCUGCCUCCUUUUGAUUUUCCCAAUCAAAGACCUCUGUGCAGGUAAUUCCCUUAAUUCUCUUGUAUACCCCACAUCUCCACCAGCUCCCAUACUUGCAUAGGGCAUCCAUCAGACAAGAUGCUGUAGAGGCACUUUUAAUGUCCCCCUUUGUUGGCUGGCAGUUUGGCUCAAUUGCUCACCUGCUUUGAGGCGUGUGGCAGCCCCUUACCUACAGGACUGGGCUUUCGUGGGUGUGCAGACUCCUCCCAGGGUUUCUGUUGACAAUCUCCCUGCAACUUAAGUUCCCUUUUGUACACACCUCCGGGCCCUGAGCGUGUUCUGCACUUGCACCAGCUCCAGCACCAGGCUCCAGUUCAGUUCCCUGCACUUGCAUGCUGCACUCCUUCUUGUGUUUGCAUCCGAGAGGACAGGGGUACGUGAAUGUCCUUCAGCCUUCAGUCCUUCAAGAACUGUUGCACUCUGGAUCCAUACCACAAGCCUCCAGCGAAACUUCUGCCUUUCACCUGUGACCAAUGCAGCCUGCAGGAGUGCAGGAGAUGGCCACAGCCCAUCCAUCUCAAGUAGGGGAGUGGGGAAGCAGUCAGGAGCCCGUGAGCUUUGCGGAGGUGGCCGUGUAUUUCAGCAGGGAGGAGUGGGCGCUGCUGGACCCUGCGC